UCCAAAUUGUCUUGUGACCUGAGACACCAUUACCACUAUCAAAUUUAAGAAGAGAUUAAAGGUGUUAAAUACAGUUGCCAAGUCAAGAAGAUUUAAGGCAAAACAGAUAUAAUGCAUGAAAAAACAUAGUAUAACACCCACUACAAACAUUCACUGAGGAUUUAUGUUCCAAAUAUGGGCAUCUUGGGAGAGUAAGGAAUUGUUGUGGUGGCUUUGUCAGCCAGAUUUCAGAAGCAAGACAAGUGCUAGAAGCCGAAGUGAUAUGAAAUAAUACCUGAUGUAUCCAAGUGCAGGAACUGCUGUGUAAUGAUGGGGAUGCUACGCCAGCAUCAUCCUCAAGAACAGACUCUUCUCCAGGAUUGGAAAAUUGCAUCUUAAAGGUUUGGGACACAUCUGGACUAAUCCAUCAGGGAGGAAAAAUGUCUUUGGAAUUAUAAUGACAGUGAUCUUCAAGAGCAAACC